rnacentral:lncRNA from 1 species
UCCCGACCACAUUGGUCCUAAUAGUCUCCACCUUAUGAGAUUCGCACCAAUCUACGUUAGGCCUGCCAGUGACACCGGCGGCGUUGAAGACAUGGGUAGGCUUGACGGUGGCUAUGUCAGCUUCCAGAGAGACUCUGUUUUCGAGGCGACCGGAGCCAUAGGUGUAGUCGAUAUCCUGAGACUCGCAGAGCUUACCCAAGAGACCACCGAUCCAACCAGUUCGACCGUAGAUGAGGAACUUAAGUGGCUUGUCGGCAUCUGAUGCGUUGCCGUUUGAUGGGAAGCCCAUUG